GGGGAUAUAGCUCAGUUGAUAGAGUGCUUGCCUAGCAUGCACAAGGUCCUGGGAUCAAUUCCCAGCACCACCA
rnacentral:tRNA from 1 species